UUUUUAAGAGAAAAUACUUUUGUCUUUUUUACCAUGAUAGUUUAGUGUGUGAUGUCAUAAAAAUGGGCUGUAGCCAUUUAAAUUCUUGUUCAAGUGCAGAAACUAAGAGACUUCAGUUUCUAUUAAGCCAUGUCAACUCCUAUUAGGAGACCUUCAGUGGUUCCAGUUCCAGGGCCUUCUUGAAGAAAUUGUGAUUCUUGUGUAAGUAUAUCUAGAGUUUUCUUUCCAGCAUUGGCUAAGUCACAUAGCUGAGAAAUAUGAUACAUGGAGAAGGUUGCUGACUGGAUGAACUUUUCUACAUUGAAUAUUUUAAAUCUGGAUUCUAGAAUAAAAUAUAUUGAUGCAUAUUUGAGUUGUCAACUGUUUAUGUCUUGUUCUUUUCAGCUUCAACAUUGCUUUAUGGCAUGUGUGGUCGUUUUUCACUCCAUUGUUGUUGUUUACCCAGUUUAUGGGGGUUGUAAUGUUUAUCACACUCCUUGGAUGAUUUCCGAAGAUCACCCCAUCCUGAGAUCUGCUGCCUUACACAGCGGAGGCUGUUUUCUGAGUGUCGGAUAACUCUGUUAUUAAAUAAGUGCAUAUUGAGAAUACUCACUCCAGAUGCUUAGAGGCAUGUUGAGAAGGACAAAGAUAGUGCCUCCUGUCAGGUCACUUACUUCAGAACUUGCAGGAAACCUGCUUUAUACAGCAGUUGACAGGUGUGGAAAUUGAAGCUCAUGGAAAUGAAAGUUAAUACACUAAAUU
rnacentral:lncRNA from 1 species